AAAAAAUCUCCCUCAUUUUAAUCCUAAUCGGAUUUUCGUUGAGCCGCUUUGAUUUCCUCCCAUUCCAUUCGACUUCGUGUUAUUCAAAGCUACUGAUUCUCUUCUCACUUGAAAUUCCUCAUCGGCGAUCUGAUUUCCCCGGAAAGAUCUGACAAUUGCUGUUUCUGCUGUCUGGAUUUCAGAUUAUCAGAUCGCACCGCCAUUUCUCUUCCACUUCCCUUCGUCGCCGUCGCCGUCGUCGUUGACUUUGGUUAGGGAUUGUUCUUGCCACUUGCAGACUAGUGUUCCUUAGUUGGUGGUAGACUGUCGAGAUGUUAGGAGCAGGUGUUCGGUUUGGUCGCGUCAGAGGUGAGGACCGGUUUUACGAUUCAUCGAGAGCCAGGAAGGGCCUUCUCAGCCGUCAAAAUGAUAGGCUCUGUAGACCUCAAGAACACGCUUCAGCUACUCCAUCUUGCGCGGUUAAGGAUGUUUCGGUGCAGUAUCCGAUUACAGAGGCUGGGGACCGUGUCGUCUCUGAUGAAGCUACUAAACCAAUUCCCCAGCCGGCUGUUUCUCCGUUAAGUAAUCUCGAGCGCUUUUUGCAGUCGGUUACUCCGUCUGUGCCUGCUCAGUUUCUCUCUAAGAGUGCGUUGAGAGGUUGGAAAACGAGCGAUUCGGAGAGGCAGCCUUUUUUUGUGCUUGGUGAUUUGUGGGAAACUUUCAAGGAGUGGAGCGCUUAUGGCGCUGGAGUGCCUCUGUUAUUGAAUAACACUGAUGGUGUGGUUCAGUAUUAUGUCCCGUAUUUGUCUGGCAUACAAUUGUAUGGCACGGAAUCGUCUACAAAGCCAAGGCAAUGGGGUGAGGAAACUGAUAGUGACUACAGAGAUUCAAGUAGUGAUGGUAGUAGUGAUUCUGAAACAAAGAGAAGAAUAAAACACUGUAGAGAACCACCCCACCAUAAUGAUCCGUCUAUCACAGCUCCUCUUAGAAUGGAUAGAUUGUCUUUGAGGGACCAGCAUUUGGGACGUCUCGAGGACUGCUCCAGCGAUGAGGCUGAAUCUUGCAAUUCUCAAGGUUGCCUUCUAUUUGAGUAUCUUGAAAGAGACCAACCGUAUUCACGCGAACCUCUGGCAGACAAGAUAUCUGACCUUGCUUCUCGUUUCCCUCAGCUGAAAACAAUGAGAAGUUGUGACCUACUACCAUGUAGUUGGAUAUCUGUGGCAUGGUACCCAAUUUACAGGAUACCAACUGGGCAAACAUUAAAGGAUCUUGAUGCUUGCUUUCUCACAUACCAUUCUCUACAUACCGCAAUGGGAGGUAAUUCAAGCCUUCAAAGCCCUCAAUUGCCAUUUGUGGCAUAUCCUUGUAAGACGGAUGCCAAAAAAGUUCCUUUAAGAAUUUUUGGACUUGCUUCAUACAAGUUUAAAGGGUCAUCAUUGUGGAUGCGAAAUGGUGGAGUUGAGCAUCAAUUGGCAAACAAGCUCUCGCGGGAAGCUGAUAAGUGGUUAAAAGAACUCCAGGUCAAUCACCCAGAUUUCGUAUUCUUCUGCCGACGAGAUUUAGCACCUUACUGAUACGAUACUCUUACAAACUAGAAAACGAAAGUCGACAAGUUGUGGCCCUACAAAAGAACCCUGUAAUUAGUUGGAUUGAGCCGUAUGCCUGUUGAAGGAGUGGUACACUCGUUUGCUUUUGUCAAGGUGGGGGAUUGAAGGAAGGUUAAGGAAUGUGAUAGGUUGCAAAAUACUGAAGCUUUAGUUGGUCGUCGGUGUGCCGUGCCUGAUGUAUUAACAAAGACCGAUAGAAAGUGAAGUCUAAAGAUGUAAGAAGAGAACAUAGCUGUAAGACUCGCUGGUUUAGCAAGGUAGAUGCUGAUUCGACAUGUAUUAAUAAGCAUGUGUUCUUCUUUGCUUUCACCUUUUAGUUUAUGUAUCCAUAGAAGAGCCAUCAUUUGAGAAAUCAGGCCUUCCUUAAUCCCUCCAACUGACGGUCCUAAUUUUGUUAGAAUGUAAUGUUACUUAAGAGGAUUUAGCACCUCACUGGUUUUAUUCAGGCAUUGAACUGUACUGCAGGAGUUUCCUUGACCAUGAACAGGUUAUAACGAUUAGAAAUGUAUAUGGAAAGCGUACAAAACGCCCUGAACUUGGGUAUGGCCGUCAUGUGAAGAUGAAAGAAUGUGAAAGCAAGAAGAUCCUUACUCGUAAGCAAUGCUCAAUGGCCAAGUGUUGUGUCCUGAUCUGUAGAAAUGGUAAGUGUACGGUAAGAAAGCCUCUAGUAAGCAAUGCUCAAUGACCAAGUGUUGUGUCCUGAUCUGUAGAAAUGGUAAGUGUACGGUAAGAAAGCCUCUAGUUUCUGCUUUACAGAGGGCAGGGACCCACUUAUGGAAACACAGCGUUGGCUUGCUUGCCUGGUGUUCAUAGGACCUGUAACAAAGUUUCUGAUUCCACUAUACCAAGUAAGUUUUCUGAGCUACUUUUUAAUGUCUAUUAAUUGUGAGCUAAAUGGAUGAUGCUGCUGUGUUGGAAUAUCUAGAUGUGCUUUUGAGUGUUUUGGUAAAAACUUUUUUCAAUUUACCCUCCUGGUAAAUGAAUGUUAAAUUUGGAUGGUUAUAAGUUUACAGGGUAUUAAAACUAAAUUGGAAAAUGCUUGAAAAUUAAAGACUAAAACAUACCCCUUUUGUACUCAA